UUGCCCGGCUUAGAUAAGGGUAAACCAGGGUAAAGCUGCCGUCCGAAGGCAGAGGUCACAGGUUCGAAUCCUGUCGGGUGCGCCA
rnacentral:tRNA from 1 species